rnacentral:snRNA from 1 species
GGGUGAGCUGGCUGUGACAUCUUUCAGCACAUCCAUCACCAAAAUUCAUUCAGCUAAUCUUGCUGGUUCAACAGGUGUCUUCAUGUUUCAUUUACUACCCCAUGUGCAUCCCUUUGGAAGUUGUACACUUUGUAGAAGGAACUACCUUUCCUGAACAGAGAUGGGUAGAUUUUCAGGGGAGAUAUGGGAGUAGCUGCAAUUCUCUGCUGCAAUUCUUCAAACAAGCUCUCAGAGUGAGAGGGUGUCAUACUUUUUCACAUCUU